rnacentral:rRNA from 1 species
CCAAUAGCGUAUAUUAAAGUUGUUGCAGUUAAAAAGCUCGUAGUUGAAUUUCGGGAUCAAAUUGUCGGUCGUGCCUCGGUACGCACUGGUAUUAUUGGUUCCUACCUUCUGAAGAACCGCGAUGUCAUUAAUUUGGUGUCGUGGGGAAUCAGGACUGUUACUUUGAAAAAAUUAGAGUGUUUAAAGCAGGCUUACGCUGGAAUACAUUAGCAUGGAAUAAUGAAAUAGGACGUUUGAUUCUAUUUUGUUGGUUUCUAGGAUUGACGUAAUGAUUAAUAGGGAUAGUUGGGGGCAUUAGUAUUCAAUUGUCAGAGGUGAAAUUCUUGGAUUUAUUGAAGACUAACUACUGCGAAAGCAUUUGCCAAGGAUGUUUUCAUUAAUCAAGAACGAAAGUUAGGGGAUCGAAGACGAUCAGAUACCGUCGUAGUCUUAACCAUAAACUAUGCCGACUAGGGAUCGGAUGAUGUUAAUUUUUUAAUGACUCAUUCGGCGCCUUACG